GAUGAACGCUGGCGGCGUGCCUAAUACAUGCAAGUCGAGCGAACAGAUGAGGAGCUUGCUCCUCUGACGUUAGCGGCGGACGGGUGAGUAACACGUGGAUAACCUACCUAUAAGACUGGGAUAACUUCGGGAAACCGGAGCUAAUACCGGAUAAUAUAUUGAACCGCAUGGUUCAAUAGUGAAAGACGGUUUUGCUGUCACUUAUAGAUGGAUCCGCCCCGCAUUAGCUAGUUGGUAAGGUAACGGCUUACCAAGGCAACGAUGCGUAGCCGACCUGAAAGGGUGAUCGGCCACACUGGAACUGAGACACGGUCCAGACUCCUACGGGAGGCAGCAGUAGGGAAUCUUACGAAAUGGGCGAAGGCCUGACGGAGCAACGCAGCGUGAGUGAUGAAGGUCUUCGGAUCGUAAAACUCUGUUAUUAGGGAAGAACAAAUGUGUAAGUAACUAUGCACGUCUUGACGGUACCUAAUCAGAAAGCCACGGCUAACUACGUG
rnacentral:rRNA from 1 species